rnacentral:lncRNA from 1 species
AGUCAUAUGUGGCCUUGUGGCUGCAGAAGUGGACAGAACAGCUCUUUAACGUCCAAUGCAUUCAUAGGCUGUUAAGAGGAUGUCAUUCUCCUUCUCCUUCCAGGACAUGACUGAAAAGAGCAAGGGGUUAGCAGAUGCCAAUUUUAUGGAGAAUUUCUUCCAUAUCAUCUAACAUUAUCUUGGUGUUGCCUGCUCUGCAUUCUGCAUCCAGCAGGUGAGUAGUGUGACCAAAUGUCUCACCAGUGUAUUUUCUUUUUCUCUUUCCUUUUACAGCUGCACCUGUGA